rnacentral:rRNA from 1 species
GACGAACGCUGGCGGCGUGCUUAACACAUGCAAGUCGAACGGUGAAGCGCCUUCCUUUUUGGUGGGUGUGGAUGAGUGGCGAACGGGUGAGUAACACGUGAGUAACCUGCCCCCUUCUUCUGGAUAACCGCAUGAAAGUGUGGCUAAUACGGGAUAUUCUGGGUCUGUCGCAUGAUGGGUCUGGGAAAGAUAUUGUUUCGGUGGGGGAUGGGCUCGCGGCCUAUCAGCUUGUUGGUGGGGUGAUGGCCUACCAAGGCGGUGACGGGUAGCCGGCCUGAGAGGGUGGACGGGCACACUGGGACUGAGACACGGCCCAGACUCCUACGGGAGGCAGCAGUGGGGAAUAUUGCACAAUGGGCGCAAGCAUGAUGCAGCGACGCCGCGUGAGGGAUGGAGGCCUUCGGGUUGUGAACCUCUUUCGCCAGUGAAGCAGGCCUGCCUCGUUUGUGGGUGGGUUGACGGUAGCUGGAUAAGAAGCGCCGGCUAACUACGUG